rnacentral:rRNA from 1 species
CACGUAGGCGGCUAAGUCAGUCUGGUGUGAAAGCCCCCGGCUCAACCGGGGAAUUGCAUCGGAUACUGCUUGGCUUGAGGACGGUUGGGGUGAGUGGAACUCCUGGUGGAGCGGUGAAAUGCGUAGAUAUCAGGAGGAACACCAGUGGCGAAAGCGACUCACUGGGCCGUCUCUGACGCUGAGGUGCGAAAGCUAGGGUAGCGAACAGGAUUAGAUACCCUGGUAGUCC